rnacentral:rRNA from 1 species
AUUGAACGCUGGCGGCAUGCCUUACACAUGCAAGUCGAACGGCAGCACGGGUGCUUGCCCCUGGUGGCGAGUGGCGAACGGGUGAGUAAUACAUCGGAACAUGUCCUGUAGUGGGGGAUAGCCCGGCGAAAGCCGGAUUAAUACCGCAUACGAUCUACGGAUGAAAGCGGGGGACCUUCGGGCCUCGCGCUAUAGGGUUGGCCGAUGGCUGAUUAGUUAGUUGGUGGGGUAAAGGCCUACCAAGGCGACGAUCAGUAGCUGGUCUGAGAGGACGACCAGCCACACUGGGACUGAGACACGGCCCAGACUCCUACGGGAGGCAGCAGUGGGGAAUUUUGGACAAUGGGCGAAAGCCUGAUCCAGCAAUGCCGCGUGUGUGAAGAAGGCCUUCGGGUUGUAAAGCACUUUUGUCCGGAAAGAAAUCCUUGGCCCUAAUACGGUCGGGGGAUGACGGUACCGGAAGAAUAAGCACCGGCUAACUACGUG